AAACGAGAGGGAAAGUAUCACCGGGCACGAGUAACCCGGUGUGAAGAUAGGGGGCCCAUCCCCUAAGGCUAAAUACUAACAUGUGACCGAUAGUGAACAAGUACCGUGAGGGAAAGGUGAAAAGAACCCCGAAAGGGGAGUGAAAUAGAACCUGAAACCUAGUGCCUACAAGCAGACAGAGCGUGAGCGAACGUGAUGUCGUACCUUUUGUAGAAUGGGCCAGCGAGUUAUUCUAAAUUGCAAGGUUAAUGAUUUAAGAUCAGAAGCCGCAGCGAAAGCGAGUCUUAAUAGGGCGAAAGUAAGUUAGAAUAGACCCGAAACCGGGUGAUCUAUCCAUGGUCAGAGUGAAGUUGAAGUAAAAUUCAAUGGAGGCUCGAACCGGGUGCGGUUUAAAACGCAUCGGAUGAACUGUGGAUAGGGGCGAAAAACCAAACGAACCCGGAGAUAGCUGGUUCUCCUCGAAAUAGCUUUAGGGCUAGCCUCUGACCUAAGAUUUUAGGAGGUAGAGCACUGAAUGGUCUAGGGCGGAGAUCCGUACCAAAACCUAUCAAACUCCGAAUGCCAAAAAAUCAAGUCAGGGAGUCAGACUUAGGGGGAUAAGCUUCUAAGUCGAAAGGGAAACAGCCCAGACCGACAGCUAAGGUCCCAAAAUUUGAAUUAAGUGGAAAAGGAUGUGAAUCUACUAAGACAACCAGGACGUUGGCUUAGAAGCAGCCAUGCAUUUAAAGAAUGCGUAAUAGCUCACUGGUCAAGUGGGUUUGCGCCGAAAAUGAACGGGGCUCAAAUUCAAUACCGAAGCUUCGGAUUAAUAGAGGGAUUAAGUUUACAAAUGAGACUAGGAAAUAUUUAACAAAAACAGAAGAGAUUAAGAAAAUACAAAUUUCAGACGCAGACAUAAAAGAUAGGAUAUUAAAAAAGAAAAAUAUUCAAAAAACACAAGUCUAAAGUCAAAAGUGAGUAACAUAAGAAAUUAUGAACUAACAAUCACUGGUUAGAGUUAAAAAACUAGGACUCAUAGCUAAACUUAAUACCUCUAUUAGUGGUAGAGGAGCAUUGUAUUAGAGACGAAGCCAAGGCGAAAGCAAAAGUGGAUCUAAUACAAGAGAGAAUGCUGGCAUGAGUAGCGAGAAGGGAUGUGAGAAUCAUCCCCGUCGAAACCCUAAGGACUCCUGAGCAAGGCUCGUCCCCUCAGGGAAAGUCGGGACCUAAGCCAAGGCCGAAAGGCGUAGGCGAUGGAUAACAGGUUUAUAUUCCUGUACCGCUUGAAGUCGUUAAGAGAGAAGUGAUGACGCAAAAGGAUAAGCAAAGCCAUCAGAUGGAAAAGAUGGUCUAAAGCCGUAGGAAGAAAAGUAGGCAAAUCCGCUUUUCACAAAUUCUAAAAGCCGAUAGGUAUCGAAAACAUAAGUAGAGAAGUUGCCGAUUCCAAGUUGCCAAGAAAAGUCACUAUCCAGACCAAAGCGCCCGUACCAAAACCGACACAGGUAGGGAGGUAGAGAAUACCAAGACGCGCGGAAGAACCUUUGUUAAGGAACUCGGCAAAAUGUCCCCGUAACUUCGGGAGAAGGGGAGCCAUAGCAAUAUGGCCACAGAAACCAGGCCCAAGCGACUGUUUACCAAAAACACAAGUUUCUGCAAAAUCGCAAGAUGAAGUAUAGGAGCUGACACCUGCCCGGUGCUGGAAGGUUAAGGGGAAGGCUUAGAGCAAUCGAAGGCUAGAACUUAAGCCCCAGUAAACGGCGGCCGUAACUAUAACGGUCCUAAGGUAGCGAAAUUCCUUGUCGGGUAAGUUCCGACCCGCACGAAAGGUGUAACGA
rnacentral:rRNA from 1 species